rnacentral:lncRNA from 1 species
CUCGAUACAAUAAAUUAAUUAGCAUCACAUCUUUAAAUAUGCAAGAUAACGGAAUCUUAAUUAACUGAAUCUUGAUAACAUGUUCCUGGGUAGAGUUUACUUAUGUAAUUAUUUGUGUACAUUGCAGGAGGAAAUGUUGUCAACCGAUCUUGACCAUGUGCAAUAAUUGUCAUGCAGAAAGUUAGGGUUAAAAUAAUCUAAACAGUUAUAUACUGUCGCUUUACAAACUAUUUUAGUUAUAAGUUGUUUUAGUAUUGUGUCGGAUUUUUUUUGGUAUUGAUAGUACAACUUAAGUAUUUUUUUCAUGAUUUGGCGUGAUCAAUAGGCAAUUCCAGCUUUUAGUUUAUGCGUGCAUGGGACGAUGGGAAGUAAGGUAUCACAUUGCUGAUUAUGCUGAAAAAUAAAAAUGGUGGCCGUGUAAACACGGAGUGAUAGCUUAUACUUGUAAAUAUUGAAAUAUUUCGGUUGUUUCGGUAGUUUUUAUUGAAAUUUUUCAGCAUAAUCAGCAAUAUGAUACCUUACUUCCCAUCAUCCCCUGCAGGCAUAAACUAAAAGCUGGAAUUGCCUAUUAAUCGAGUUAUUGGGCGCACGCGAGAAGUUGGGAGAGCACGAAAAGAGUAUCAGAGUUUGAGGCGCUAACUCGAUUGAGCAAGCCAAAUCAUGAAAAAAUUCUUUUAUAUAACAAUAUUUUAUCAAAAUACAAGACUAGUAGUUUUCUUCCUGAUGAAAUUUCAAUUUCUCCUAACAGAAACAAAAUACGAAAAGGUUUCUGAUUGGUCGCGAGAAAAUCGGCUGCUCGGGCAGCUCGACAUUGCCAGCUUGCCAAUGCAAGUGCAUGGGGCUUCAAAAACUGACGAUAAUUGAAAUUUUGAUAAUUUAGAGAUUUGGUUUUAUUGGUAAAAAGGGAGCACACAGUUAAUUGUAUUUAUCAUUGAGUCGUGGUCUGACUCUGUUUAUGUUUUUUUUAGUAUUUGGAUUUUUAUUUAUUUUGCACUGGUAUAACCUAUCCUGGAAACUGUACCAUAUUUUAAUGUGUCCAGGAUCCAACUAGUUUUGCCGUUUUAGAAGUAUGUUUUUCUCACAUGUUUCUGCCGAACAUUGUGGCGAACACGGUAAAAAGAACUCUUUUUCUUUGACUUUGCGAUGUAUACAGUACGAGCAUAUAUGGGCUUUAUCCCUGGCUUUUAUAUGUCAAAAGUAAAUGCCCGAGUGUUUUUAUUUAACAAAUUAUAUUUUAUAAUUGAUUAAAAACAAUGAAAAGUUUUGUGAAAAUUCUCGAGGAAAUGUUUCCCAAAACAGAGACAGGAAUUUUCUGCCGUGCUCAAUCGAGUUAUUGAGCACGCAUUUCAGUUCUUGUAUAACACAUAAUUAUAAUUUGUGUUUUUAACUAAUUGCAUGCCAUAGAAAAUUUUGUGUUAGAAAUAAUUCGUAGUUAAGACGUAAGUUGUGCUGUGGUCAAAAAGAGUUAGCCUUGGCUUAUACUUAUAAUAACAUUGCUAUCAUUAAGGGUCACUGACUAUGGCCGCCUACGUUUGUGUCAUUUAUAUAAAACUUUAUAUAAACAAAACUUAAGUUAAGCAAUAAAC